GAUGAACGCUGGCGGCGUGCUUAACACAUGCAAGUCGAACGGUGAAAGAGAGCUUGCUCUCUGGAUCAGUGGCGAACGGGUGAGUAACACGUGAGCAAUCUGCCCCUGACUCUGGGAUCAGCGCUGGAAACGGCGUCUAAUACCGGAUACGAGCUGCGAAGGCAUCUUCAGCAGCUGGAAAGAACUUCGUGCAGGGAUGAGCUGGCGGCCUAUCAGCUAGUUGGAGAGGUAAUGGCCCACCAGGGCGUCGACGGGUAGCCGGCCUGAGAGGGUGACCGGCCACACUGGGACUGAGACACGGCCCAGACUCCUACGGGAGGCAGCAGUGGGGAAUAUUGCACAAUGGGCGCAAGCCUGAUGCAGCAACGCCGCGUGAGGGACGACGGCCUUCGGGUUGUAAACCUCUUUUAGCAGGGAAGAAGCGAAAGUGACGGUACCUGCAGAAAAAGCACCGGCUAACUACGUGCCAGCCGCCGCCGUAACAC
rnacentral:rRNA from 1 species